AUACGAAUAUCACCAAUAUGAAUAUCACAGCGCAGCUUUGUGAUGCAUUACGCCACGGUUCCUUAUCACAGCCUCUCACCAUGAAGGAAUAGCACAUUUCAAUCAUUCUGUCAUGGGAGAACUAUAAUCUUUUUCUUCUGCGUGGCAUAUGUCCUUCCACUUCUAACUAAUCCUUAUUAUGCCUCAGAAGCGAAGGUCAUUGUCAAAGCCGAGGGGUGAUUAAGUUAAUCCACUUGUUUUCUGAAUCCGAUUUACCUCAUUUUCCAAACUAGGGAACAAUGUUCCGGCACAAAGACAUCAAGAUGAUAGUGUGGCACGCAUUAAGGAGGAGGGCCCCAAUGCUGGAGAGGCUUCUAUUAUCUGUCUACAUCAUCUGCAUCCCAUUCUGCUUCCCGGUUCUAUCAGAGGAUUUCUAAUGACUGCAUUCAAAGCUAUCUCUGCCGUGUGGAGCGAGCCGGAGUGAAAGUGAGAGGACAGGAUACAAGUUAAAAGCGCCACAAUCGGUCUUAUUCUUGGAUCAAUCCAUGUCACUGCAGUAUAAGCCACUACCCGAGUGAGGCACAUUACCCCGGUGAGUAGGAAACCCGCGCUGCGGCCGGCGAGCCACAGUGAGUUACGCAGUGCAGUGGCAUACAGUUGACUUCAUUAGCAGGUCCCUCCCUUCAAGGGGAUCGGUUAUUUACUACCGCAUCGUGCAGGGACAGAUGCUCCACAGAUAUUAGACUAUAGAGAUUUGUGCAGGUACAAAGAGGUGCGUGUGUGUGUGCGUGCGUGCGUGUGUGUACACAGCCCAGCAGCAGGCUGACAUGUGCCGUGCAGCCACAGGGACCGAGGGGUUCUGCUCCCUCUCAGCUAAUCCAAACAAAGCUCAGGCUGAGCCAGAAUGAGGAAUGUCUGCACUGUUGGUCAUAGACGCACAGGGUCAACCAGGAUGACUGUGUGUUUGUGUAUGAGACACACAGAGAGAGAGAGAGAGAGAGAGAGCG